UACGUAGGCAGCAAGCGUUGUUCGGAGUUACUGGGCGUAAAGGGUGCGUAGGCGGCCUUAUAAGUAUGGUGUGAAAUCUCCCGGCUUAACUGGGAGGGUGCGCUAUAGACUGUGGGGCUAGAGUGUGGGAGAGGAAAGUGGAAUUCCUGGUGUAGCGGUGAAAUGCGUAGAUAUCAGGAGGAACACCGGUGGUGUAAACGGCUUUCUGGACCAUAACUGACGCUGAGAAGCGAAAGCAUGGGGAGCGAACAGG
rnacentral:rRNA from 1 species